rnacentral:lncRNA from 1 species
AACUUUUUUCAGUCCACUGAAAAAUGAAGCACACGUAUCGCAUGCGUAAAUUCGAACUUUGUUCAGAUGACGAUUUAACGUACGCGUCCAAACUAUACAUAUAUCUUCUUAUUUAUCUACAAUUGUAUACAUAAAUACAUCGUUCGCAGGCACUUUGCACCGCUCACUGAUUGUCAGUAUGUUGUUGCUUGUUGAUUAACAAUUGAAUUGUUGAUUCUCCCGACUAUAUCGUCACAAUGUUCAACAAUGAGUAUGACGCAUGAUAUAUGUAACAGUAUAUCAUAUACUCGCUUAAAAUCAAUAUAUUUUUCCAUAAACUGGUUAAAACCCCGUAAAGCGUAUAACUGAUGUAAGUAUUUCCUGGGAAUUGAUUUAAAUUUUUCGAUCGAUUUGUUUUGCAAUUAUUAUGAAAUUACUGUACUGUUUUAUCAUGUUGUCCACUGAAUGAACAUAAAAAAAUAAAAUAAAAUAAAAUAAGCUCGGUGCAAUCUGUGCCAAUUGGAACAACAAAAGCACGUAACAGACGGACACACGCAUCGCGCAAUAGUUACAACAAUAAAACCCAGGGUUAAUAAUGUAUUCUGUAGAAUAAUUAUUGUUUGUUUGAGUAUACGUUGAAAGAUGGUGAUCUUAAUAAGAAUAUUAUAAAUGUUUCGAGGAAAGAAACGAGAAUGCUGUGUUAUGAUUGAAUCAUCAUUCGGCUGGAAACACGUUAGUGUUUGCUUUGCUCACCAGAAAUGAAGGCAGAAUCACCCUUGGCGAAGACAUCAUGAACGAUUUUGCUUUUGGAUGCCUUAGAGUCGACGUAACCCAGGAAUGCUCUUGUUGGAUUAUUCGGCAUGAUUUUACCGAUGAAAACGCCAGGUUCAUCUGAAAACGAACUUGACAAGUUAGAGUAGUUUUUGCUAAUUAGCAACAAAUUUGUUCAGCUUUCAACGUACACAAUUUUAGAAUCAAGAAUUAUUAUUAUAUACGAUUGAAGAAACGUAAUUACUUGGCUCGCAGGUCAUACAAAGUCCCUUAGAAUUUCUGAUUGGCUCUCCAUUUGCAUCUACCUUAAUUAUAGAAAUCGGGUACACUGCUGGAAUGAUUCUUGAGACGAAACCGAUAGCUCCAACGGUGUUGUCGAUGUUUACUGUGGAAAGUAAAUAAUUAUGCUUAUGUUCGCUCUAUUGCAUUAAAUUUCUUGUACGACAAUUUGCCUACCAAUGUUAGCAUUUCCUUCGGUAGCUCCGUAAAAUUCGGCAACUUUUGCUAUUUUGAAACGAUUAACGAAAUCACUCCAAAUUUGCGGCCUUA